rnacentral:rRNA from 1 species
AAAGGAAUAGACGGGGGCCCGCACAAGCAGUGGAUUAUGUGGUUUAAUUCGAAGCAACGCGAAGAACCUUACCAGGGUUUGACAUCCAACUAACGAAGCAGAGAUGCAUUAGGUGCCCUUCGGGGAAAGUUGAGACAGGUGGUGCAUGGUUGUCGUCAGCUCGUGUCGUGAGAUGUUGGGUUAAGUCCCGCAACGAGCGCAACCCUUAUUGUUAGUUGCUACGCGAGAGCACUCUAGCGAGACUGCCGUUGACAAAACGGAGGAAGGUGGGGACGACGUCAAAUCAUCAUGCCCCUUAUAUCCUGGGCUACACACGUAAUACAAUGGCGCAUAACAAAGGGAAGCGAAGGAGCGAUCUGGAGCGAAUCCCCAAAAGGCGUCCCAGUUCGGAUUGCAGGCUGCAACUCGCCUGCAUGAAGUCGGAAUUGCUAGUAAUCGCGGAUCAGCACGCCGCGGUGAAUACGUUCCCGGGCCUUGUACACACCGCCCGU